UCAUCUUAUAUCAAAAAUUAUAAAAAUACCCUCCAUAUUACCCCAUCCUCUCAUCUUCCUCCACAUUUUUGACGUAGCUGUCGACAUCUCCACCACCUAAGCUGUCAAAAACAUCUCCUUCAUUGUUCUCCUUAUGCGAUCACUUCUUAGUUCUUGGUGGGUUACACUCAUUUUCGGGUGGAGUGACUUAAUUGCUUGAGGGUUGAUUCUCUUUGGUGAAAGGGAGGAAGAGACAAAGAAGUAGUAAUGGUGAAAGGAAGAGAAAGAGAGUUUUUUGUUGGACAAAGUUUCUUUAAUUUGCUUAACAAUGGACCUCAACGACUUGUGCUUUUAUCUGUAUUUGAAAAUUAAUAGGAAUGUAACUAAUGUAAUGUCUAAAGUUAUUUAUUUAUUAAGUUCAAAAAUCUAUGGAAGUGAAAGGAUUAGAACUUUUAACAUUUUGGUUUGUUGAGUUAUGGUCAUGUUUGUUGACCGCUUCUAAAUACACAUGCAAAUACACAACGUGAAGUUAUUAAUUGUUUAUUCAUCUGAGUAAAACUUUGAUGCAUCUCUCAUA